rnacentral:tRNA from 1 species
AAGGCGUUAAUAAACCCAUUAUACCACCUUGUCAAGGUGGCUUGAUAGGUGAAAACCCUAUACGCCUUA